AUUGUAGAAACCUGUUUGAGAGCAACAAUUAUUGAUACUUUUUCCUCUUACAUGACUCAAAACAAAAGAGGACUGUCAUACAUAAUGGCUCUGUAUCUUGGGGUUAUUGAAGAUGAGUCAUUAAAUCCAGCAGCCAGGAGACCUGAUAGCUGCCUGUCCAAGAUCCUGAAUGGGCAGAGCUUAGUUCCUUGGGGCCAAUGAAGCUGUGUAGUUGCUUAGAAAGGACAGAGGAAUGCCUGCCUGGCCUCCGUGUGGGAGUUAAAUGUUUGGCAAGAGUCAGAGGGUAGCUUUCAAGUCACAUGCUUGUAUUUCGUGACUACAUCUGGGCACUCUUGUGCACACAGUUCCCCUGCUUUUUUUCUUUUGGUGGCUGAACCCAGUCUUUCCAGAUCUCAGGUUCAAUGUGGGUUCUUAACUGCGGCCCCUCCAGAGCACUCUUACCUUUGCCUGGCACCUCAUUUGUGUUGUUGCUCUUAGCUUUUUUAAUUGUUUUUGUCUCUCACUGGAUAGCACAGUGAGGACGUCAUUUCUCCAUUUUCUACUUGUGAUCAAUAUGGGGCCUGCUGGCAUGUACUGAGCACUCAAAGAGCUUAGAGGAUGAAUGUCAGAGAUUGAUUUAUGCCAUACAUUUUUAUGGAACCACUGUUUUCUCCCAGAUAAGGGUUAGCUUCUGGACCCAACUUUAUAUGCAUAGAAAUAAGAUAUCAAGGUGAAGGACCAUAGGAAAAGGAAGAAAGCACAUCCCUGUUCUUUCAGGGUAUUAAAAGCCAGGGAUCAUGUGUAUGUUCACUUUAGUCCCAAUGGCCAAGACGUCCAUCAGCAGCUCUUUGAGCCUGUUUCCAUUUUGUCCCUGAAAUGCAGCAAAGAUGCUUAGUGUAUUGUAGUUUUACCCUGAAGACUAAUUGGUAUGUGCUUGAAAAUUGUUGUCUGGGAUUUUUUUUUUUUUUUUUUUUUUUAACCAUUGGAACAUCACUGAAGUUGGGAUGAGUCUUCUUACAAUUAACAGUGUCUUCAGCUUCAUGAGCUAAAGUAAUUAUGGGAAGCAUAUAGGUGUUAGAUCUAUAAAUAUGUAUGUCCUUAUCUUUGUCCUCAGUAACAAAAGAAAAGAGAUAGUUGGUAUAAGCAUCACUAUGAGGAGAAGGCGCACAGGCCUGGGAACUGGCAGAUUGGAUUCUUUCUGGGGUCAGUAGUCAUAUCACCUCCCCCUGCCAUCCUUUGGCAGUCAAGGUUCUAGGUUUUUGGACUGGCAAAGACAUCCCCCCUAUAGUGCCACUGAUUGCCAGUGGUUCAUUGGAGCUCUGUGUGUAGGGUAUUGAAGCCACGCCCCAGGUCUGUAGGCAGAUUUAGAAUCUGGGCUGCACCUGUGGCCUCUGGAAGUUCAUGGGCCAGGGACUGAACCCUCAGUAGUAACCAGAGCCACAGCAGUGACAAUGCCAGAUCCUUAAUUCCCUGAACCCCAAGGGAACUCCUGAAAUAUUUUUUAUAUUAUGUCAAUUACCAGUAACACAAAGAAGUGGAGAGAAUAGCAUCAUAAGUCCCUAUGUACUCAAACAGUUUAGUCACUGGGCCAUUAUUUGGAUGGGGAAGUUGUGACCAUCCCAGGCUAAAUCCAGGAUUGUCACCCAGAGAUAUUGAAAUAGAUCUUGGGAAGCUGACCAGAGAAAAAUUGAAGCUCAUUGUGGUGUUCAUUCUAUGGACAGUGGGGGCUGCCAGCCCUGUUGGCUGUGUCAGUCAGGGUUUGUUUAAUACUAAUACUUUGUACUACAGAGGAAAUGGCCCCAGCUUUUCUCUUCCUUGUUCAAGUUUGCAGUUUGAAAAAAGUUGACCAUAUUUUCAUUGUAGGCCUAGCUUCCUUUACCAUUAGGGUAACUGUAUGCCUUCUGGUGGAAUUCUGUUUUCCAGAUUUAAUUACUAAUUACGCCUCCUUUCUUUCUUAGAAUAGAUUUGGUUUGGGCAAUAAAUUAUUUGAGUCAACUAACUUAGCCCCUGAAAGAAACUCCGAUUACCUGAUUCUAUGACUGUCUGGCUCUUUGGAGUACCACUUCAUAGAGCACCAGUUUGAAUGCUAAAUGCACAUGGUUAUGGCAUAAGGAAGGCCAGUUAUACUUGCCAAGUGAUGGCAGGGACUGGAGCCUGGAACAGCCAGGCCCAGUGUUAGAGGUAGUCAAGUUUGAUUUGCGCAAAACCCAUGCUGGAUACAAAAACAUACCUGCAGGCUAAAUUCAUAUCACAGACCCCUGGUGUACACCUCUUCCUCUUAAUAGGAAACUGUUAAUGAUCUAGACUCCAAGAAGAAGGCAAAUGAGGGAUGAAUGGCCAAAUUAAUCUGCCUGUUUUGUAAAUAAAAUGUCAUUGCAAAGCAAUCACACCCAUUUGUUUUUAUAUUGUCCAUGCUGCUUUGGCACCAUAAACAGAGACAGAGCUUAAAAUAGUUGUUAUCAGGCCUUCCCAGAAAGUUUGCUGACUCCUGUUCCAGAUCAGUACUAUCCAUUAGAAAUCUCUUGGGGUUCCCAUUGUGGUGCAGCAGAAACAAAUCUGAUCAGUAACUAUGAGGAUGCAGGUUUGAUCCCUGGCCUCGCUUGGUCAGUCAGGGAUCCGGCAUUGUCAUGGGCUGGCAGCUACAGCUCCGAUUUGACCCCUA
ensembl:lncRNA